rnacentral:rRNA from 1 species
UAUUGUUACCAUACCACCCUGAACGCGCCCCAUCUUGUCUGAUCUCGGAAGCUAAGCAGGGUCGGGCCUGGUUAGUAUUUGGAUGGGAGUACACUGCUUCUAAUAAUGG